GAAGAAUGUAACCAUAGCAACCUGUCGUUUAGCGCCGACCAUCUCUUGUACGUUUCAGAAUUUAAGUCUGUGAGAAUCUCCAUUCGUAAGUAGAACUGUCUUGCUGGGAACAUUUUGUUCUUUACUGUAAAGUAAGUCUGAAGACAGGCAGUCGGAUGGCUCUGAACAAGGUGUUCAGGUGAAGAAGACGCUCGGCAACCGUGAAAGGUGCAAGUGCAUCCGCAGAUCUAAAGCUCUAUCUAGCAGAUCCCUAUCUCCCUCUACUUCCCAAAGAAUAAUCCAGAAUUCCUCCUGUCACAAGGAAAUGUGGGGACAAAGAGUGAAGCAGAAACUGAAGCAAAGGAAUUCCAGGAAUGUGAGGCUUUUGAGGUUGUUGAAGAUAGAUUGCUCUACCCUGGAAGACCCUCCGGAGGGCUAUGGCUUUAGCUGUAUUAUGCCAUGCUUUAUCAUGUUGGUACACAGCCAGGAGCUGUGCCACUCUUUGGUGUUGGCAUAAGGCUUUUCACUUCUCCAGUGAGUUCUGCAGGGGGCAGCACAAAAGGAGUUAAAAAUCUGGGCUUGAAAAAGUUAAUACAUUGUUCUGAGUGCCAAAGUGUUACAAAGUCAUCUGUUCUAAAAGACGAAUGUCAGGGAAAGUAUUUAUAUGCAUUAUAUGCUGGUUUUCGGGGUGUGGAGGACAGUGAAAAGGGACAAGCCUUUCCCUGAACUCACUACGCAGCCAAAGAUAAACUUCAAUUUCUGGUCUCUCUGCUUCUAUCUCCCAAGUGCUAGGAUUACAGGUUUCGCUUAACAUUCUGUUGUAUACAGCCCAAUCCCAGAGAGUUUUGUAUACAUGCUAGGCACGCUACCAAAUAUGCUGCAUCCCCAGCUCACACAGUAUGUUUGAAUUACAGUUAGUAGGAAAGACAAGAAAAACAAUAAAUUGAAAAAAAAAUUCUACCCAAUUAGACAAGAUGGAUGAAGCAAAGAAGUGCAGACCGACAGGAGCCGGAUGUAGAUCACUCCUGAGAGACACAGCCAGAAUACAGCAAAUACAGAGGCGAAUGCCAGCAGCAAACCACUGAACUGAGAAUAGGACCCCCGUUGAAGGAAUCAGAGAAAGAACUGGAAGAGCUUGAAGGGGCUCGAGACCCCAUAUGAACAACAAUGCCAAGCAACCAGAGCUUCCAAGGACUAAG
ensembl:lncRNA